rnacentral:rRNA from 1 species
GAGUGGCGAACGGGUGAGUAACACGUGGGUAACCUGCCCAUCAGAAGGGGAUAACACUUGGAAACAGGUGCUAAUACCGUAUAACAAUCGAAACCGCAUGGUUUUGAUUUGAAAGGCGCUUUCGGGUGUCGCUGAUGGAUGGACCCGCGGUGCAUUAGCUAGUUGGUGAGGUAACGGCUCACCAAGGCCACGAUGCAUAGCCGACCUGAGAGGGUGAUCGGCCACAUUGGGACUGAGACACGGCCCAAACUCCUACGGGAGGCAGCAGUAGGGAAUCUUCGGCAAUGGACGAAAGUCUGACCGAGCAACGCCGCGUGAGUGAAGAAGGUUUUCGGAUCGUAAAACUCUGUGUUAGAGAAGAACAAGGAUGAGAGUAACUGUUCUCCCUGACGGUAUCUAACCAGAAAG